GGAUUUAUUGGGCGUAAAGAGUUCGUAGGCGGUUUGUUAAGUCUGAUGUUAAAGACCGGGGCUCAACCUCGGAAAUGCAUUGGAUACUGGCAGACUGGAGUGCAGUAGAGGCUAGUGGAAUUCCCAGUGUAGCGGUGAAAUGCGUAGAUAUUGGGAAGAACACCGGUGGCGUAGGCGACUAGCUGGGCUGUAACUGACGCUGAGGAACGAAAGCCAGGGGAGCAAAUGGGAUUAGAUACCCCAGUAGUCCUGGCCGUAAACGAUGGAUACUAGGCGUAGUGGGUAUCGACCCCUGCUGUGCCGCAGCUAACGCGAUAAGUAUCCCGCCUGAGUAGUACGGCCGCAAGGUUGAAACUCAAAGGAAUUGACGGGGGCCCGCACAAGCGGUGGAACAUGUGGUUUAAUUCGAAGCAACGCGAAGAACCUUACCAGGGCUUGACAUCUGUGGAAUCUUUCGGAAACGAGAGAGUGCUCGCAAGAGAGCCACAAGACAGGUGGUGCAUGGCUGUCGUCAGCUCGUGUCGUGAGA
rnacentral:rRNA from 1 species